rnacentral:rRNA from 1 species
AUCUGGGCGGCGGAAUUCAGGAUGGCUGGCGGGUUUCGCGCUCGUCCGGCCGUUUGAUAUUUCCGUCGCCGUGUCAGACGUCGCGACCUGUUCGUCGUCGGUCCCUGCUCGGAGGAAUCGCGAUCGAGUUCGUUGCGGGCGCGCUUCGGCGUGUUCUGCGGCGAAGACGCGGCUCUCUGACUGACGACGGACAGUAGGCAACGGUGUCCGGCGCCGUGUCUCGCACUCGGCGUCGGUGCCGGUCAGCGACGAUUUCUUCGGGCCUCUUUCCGACCCGUCUUGAAACACGGACCAAGGAGUCUAACAUGUGCGCGAGUCGCGGGGUUUCGAGCGUGCCACGGUGCGCUCGUUACUUCCGAAACCCGUACGUUGAAGGCGUAAUGAAAGUGAACAGGGAAGAUGGCGUUCCGAGUCCACGUACCGUGAUCGAGUAUCGCGGCCGGACGUCCGCACUCCCGGGGCGUCUCAAUGGCUCGUCGCGGAUGCGGACGGUCGUCUUUCGGGGCGGCCGUCGGUCUGCGCCGGUCCGA